AUACAUGCAAGUAGAACGCUGAAGCUUGGUGCUUGCACCGAGCGGAUGAGUUGCGAACGGGUGAGUAACGCGUAGGUAACCUGCCUGGUAGCGGGGGAUAACUAUUGGAAACGAUAGCUAAUACCGCAUAAGAGUAGAUGUUGCAUGACAUUUGCUUAAAAGGUGCAAUUGCAUCACUACCAGAUGGACCUGCGUUGUAUUAGCUAGUUGGUGGGGUAACGGCUCACCAAGGCGACGAUACAUAGCCGACCUGAGAGGGUGAUCGGCCACACUGGGACUGAGACACGGCCCAGACUCCUACGGGAGGCAGCAGUAGGGAAUCUUCGGCAAUGGACGGAAGUCUGACCGAGCAACGCCGCGUGAGUGAAGAAGGUUUUCGGAUCGUAAAGCUCUGUUGUAAGAGAAGAACGAGUGUGAGAGUGGAAAGUUCACACUGUGACGGUAUCUUACCAGAAAGGGACGGCUAACUACGUGCCAGCAGCCGCGGUAAUACGUAGGUCCCGAGCGUUGUCCGGAUUUAUUGGGCGUAAAGCGAGCGCAGGCGGUUAGAUAAGUCUGAAGUUAAAGGCUGUGGCUUAACCAUAGUACGCUUUGGAAACUGUUUAACUUGAGUGCCAGAGGGGAGAGUGGAAUUCCAUGUGUAGCG
rnacentral:rRNA from 1 species